UUAUUUUUUGAAAUGAAGAGAGGCCGUGAAUAGAGAGAAGAUUAGCAUGAACCCUGCGCAAGGAUGACACGCAAAUUCAUAAAGCGUUCCAAAUUUUA
rfam:Caenorhabditis elegans chromosome II